GAUCCAAGCCAUUGAGUAAUCACUAAACUUCUAAGUACCAAAGUGUGGUAUCAUUUUCACUUGCCUUAUCUGUCUCAUAUGUAGAUGUGGCAUUUUCUCUGGAAGUACUUUUCCUCCAUCCAAGGGUGGUAUCUUUAACCGAUAAAGAUGCACAAGGUAAUGUAUCAAUUUCACUUGAAGCUUACUUGUAGUUUCGAUCUUGGUCAAGUGCGAUACAAACCCUAUAGUAGGAGUCCCCCAAGUCGCCGAGCUAGGAGAUUUGCCGAAGGAGGUAACAUACAAGGUAAGCAAUCAGACUUCCAAGCAAGCAACCUGGAUCAGAGGUUCGA
rnacentral:lncRNA from 1 species